rfam:Setaria italica strain Yugu1 chromosome IV, whole genome shotgun sequence.
AGGCAGCCCCUUUGUCCAAACUCAACGGCAAUGGUGGUGUUGCGUUUCUCGGAGAAUAAAUCUUCUGAUCUUCAGAUCAGCUGAGAGGGGAGGUCACCUUCUCUCGUUGAGGCUGGUCUAGUAAGUCAUAAGAACAUC